UGGUAUUUCAUUGCUACAUCUUGUGGUGGCCAUCAAGGGACAUUGCAAUUGGAAAUGAGUCUGUGCAUUGGAGAGAUGGACAAACCCACCUUCAGUGCUGCUGCGGUUGCCCAGAAGUCAGUGAAGUGACAUGAAGAGGGAACAGCGGCCAUUAGAUUUCUUCACAAAGCGAGCUUCCUCGUUCUCUGUCCAUCAUAACUUCAGUAAAGCCAGUGGUCUGGAUUCUGCAGAAAAAUGAGACCAUUACCCAACAGAAAAUACUUGGCUCUGGGAAGAGACAUGGAGGAAAUGUCUGACAGAUCUGUGUGACAGAGAGCAGCACUCCCUUGGUGAGGAAGGAGUGAUGGAUGUCCUCAUUGUGGCCAUUUUGGUUAAGGAGAAAUUGCUGUCUAACUGAUCUUUUGUGGACUUCUGACCAAAACCAUCCAGUGCAACAUAUGCACAGACACAUCCAGAUUCCUGCUAGGAUUUGGAAUUGGCAUCGAGCAACACCCACUCCUCCACCCGGACCAGAAACCACCGAGAUGUCCCUCCCUCGGAUGAAGCUCAUGUGUCACUCACAACCCAUGGCAGAGGGCGUGCAGGGGCUUGGAGCAGUCAUCAAAUGUAGGCCUGCCAGCAGUCUUUGUUAACGGAGUAGGAAGGCUUGGUGCAUCCCGCUCAUGUGGCCUGAAAGGAACUGGAAAGCUGCUUGAUUCCAGCUAAUGAAUCUUUAAAGCCCAGCGUGGGA
ensembl:lncRNA